GUGGGCGGAAAAGUGCUGGCGAUUACCGGCUUUACUCCCAAUGCCCUGCAACAGCGUGCUUCUCAUUGCCUGUAUACCAUUGCCGAAGAACAAGCGACAAACAGUGCUUCAAUCUCUGCUUGUCACGCGCAGGGAAUGUUAACGGAUUUGCUGUUCAUUGCGCUGAUUCAGCAGGAUCUGGAACUGGCACCAGAACGUAUUCGUCAUAGUGAAGCGCUGGUGAAAAAACUGGUCUGAGUAAAGAAUGCGCGUAUAAUGCCCGCCCGGUUUGUGUUGUUUUGAGAGUUUCCUUAUGGCGCUGUUAAUCACUAAAAAAUGCAUCAAUUGUGAUAUGUGUGAAAUCAAAUAAAAACACAUUUAUUUUCAUAGUGAUACAGCAAUGUGUUAUUGAAUGUGUUGUUGGAUUUAUGGUGCAAAAAAAUUUUGCAUAAGUUCAGCAACACAAAGAUCCCCCCCCUUUUUCUAUAACGGUUCAUUUGAGACUCCCCCUUGACUCCCUCUUCGAAAUUGAAGACCAUCACCUGUACAUAAUUACAGUCAUGGAUAAUAUUAUGCGCAGAAAAGAGUCAAACGUUAGCAGUUUGCCGGAACUCACCAAUUUUGAGGUAAGCUAUUCUCUGGUUACCAAUGAAGUUUACUUGUCUGCAUCCUUCACUGAUAACAUGGCCUGUAUACCAAACUGGCCCUUACAAGAAUUUCCGGAUCAACUAAUAUGCAUUUCUCGAGCAAAAGCUGUUGCCCUAAUCGAAGAGCUCCAGAAGACCAUCAACUAUAUGGAUGCAGGAAUAGAUCGAAGUUCAGGUAGCCUUCUCCAGUAGCUGACGAGUUUUAUAAUAAUUUGAUAUAUAUAUCGUUCAAUAUUAGCGAGUACUUAUAAUGAGUGAAUUUAGUAAUCUUUUAAAUAGCAUACCUGGAUGGUUAUCCUCCUCCCUCACAGCUCUAGUUGGUACUCUUAUUGGCGGAUGGUUUACCCUAAAAGGAGUUACCCAACAAGCUAAGCUGUCUAAAGUAGAGACAGAAAGAGAAUCCCUUGAAUUACAACUUUCAGUAUUAAAAGGAGUUAAGGGAGAAGUUUUCACCCUAAUCAAUUUAUAUAAUAAAAGGAUGAAAACACACAUUGAUAAUAUAAAACCGGGACAAAUGUUGAUUCUCACAUUCCCUGUAGGGGAUGAUAAUUUCACAUUCUAUGAGCAAAAUGCGAAUGUCAUUGCAAAACUAAAUGAUUCUGCUAGAGACUCAAUAAUUAACAUAUACACAUAUUCACGCUCAUUAAUACAAUCAUUUAAAGGAAACAACAAACUCAUUGAGGAUUAUGAAAAAAUCCUUAUUGGCAUGGCAGACAAUAACAAAGAUAAAACCAUGUAUAAGAGAUUACAUGAUGCAAAAAUAAAUGUAAUGGUAGAUUAUGCUCAAGGGAUAAAAAAUAUUGAUGCAGAGCUAAGAGAUGCUGUCAAUAAGGGAUUCGACAUUAUCGACCAAGAAGUAAAGUCACUACAAAUGAAAUUAAACAAAUUAGCUUCAUAGAAUGCUCCACUCCCUGUUCAAUAUUUUUACAAGCUUAUCAGCCAGCCGUGGCACGUUCUUGCAUACGACGUGCUACGGUUUCAUUUAUCUCCGACCGGAAACUUCUUAUACAAAGUCGAUACGCCAACAUCAUAGAUGAUCUCCACAUUCUGGCGAGGAACGCCUGAUGCAAUUAGUCGCCCGGCCUGCGCCCAUUGUUCUGAUGAAAGUUUGGGACGGCGACCGCCAAUUCGUCCCUGUGCGCGAGCAGCUUCCAGUCCAGCUUUUGUUCGUUCAACAAUCAGUUCACGCUCCAUUUCAGCCAGGGCACCCAUGACAUGAAAAAAGAAACGGCCAUUGGGGUGCUGGUAUCAAUACUGUCAGUCAGGCUUCGGAAAUUCACGCCACGCUGACGCAACUCUUCUAUCAGCGUAACAAGAUGCCGCAUACUGCGCCCCAACCUGUCCAGCUUCCAGACAACCAGAGUGUCUCCUGCCGAUAGUGUCCUGAGCAGUUUUUUAAGCCCCGGUCUGUCGGACUUAGUGCCACUGAUUUUAUCCUCAAAAAACCGCUCACAUCCCGCGCAGUUCAGUGCAUUACGUUGCAGAUCGGUGUUCUGGUCAUUUGUUGAUACGCGUACAUAGCCAAUAAGCAUGAUGGAUCCCCUGAAUAAAAACCGGAGAUGAUGCCAGUUGCCCGUUAUCUCUGCAUUUUCAUAAACGUUGGUUUGGGAGAAGGUUCUGCAUUACCUGUUGGUGUGCCUGUUCCGUGGCCUUCAGUCACACCGCCAACAGGCUGGCUGAAAUGCAACGGUGCGGCUUUUUCUGCUGAAGAAUACCCGGAACUGGCAAAGGCUUACCCGACCAAUAAAUUGCCUGAUUUACGCGGUGAAUUUAUUCGUGGCUGGGAUGACAGUCGCGGGAUUGAUACUGGUCGCGCUUUGCUUAAUUGGCAGCCACACACAAUUUUGGACCAUGCACACUAUAUGGAAUUAUGGACAGGGGACGGACUCGCCGCAGGAAGUGCACGGGAAGGAGUAAACCCAGGAAUACUGGCUACAUACGGUGACGGGGGAAUAGUUAAAACGGACGAACCCGGUCUUAAGGUGCCUUCCUCACUACGAGCNCCCGGUAAACGGCGGCCGUAACUAUAACGGUCCUAAGGUAGCGAAAUUCCUUGUCGGGUAAGUUCCGACCUGCACGAAUGGCGUAAUGAUGGCCAGGCUGUCUCCACCCGAGACUCAGUGAAAUUGAACUCGCUGUGAAGAUGCAGUGUACCCGCGGCAAGACGGAAAGACCCCGUGAACCUUUACUAUAGCUUGACACUGAACAUUGAGCCUUGAUGUGUAGGAUAGGUGGGAGGCUUUGAAGUGUGGACGCCAGUCUGCAUGGAGCCGACCUUGAAAUACCACCCUUUAAUGUUUGAUGUUCUAACGUGGACCCGUGAUCCGGGUUGCGGACAGUGUCUGGUGGGUAGUUUGACUGGGGCGGUCUCCUCCUAAAGAGUAACGGAGGAGCACGAAGGUUGGCUAAUCCUGGUCGGACAUCAGGAGGUUAGUGCAAUGGCAUAAGCCAGCUUGACUGCGAGCGUGACGGCGCGAGCAGGUGCGAAAGCAGGUCAUAGUGAUCCGGUGGUUCUGAAUGGAAGGGCCAUCGCUCAACGGAUAAAAGGUACUCCGGGGAUAACAGGCUGAUACCGCCCAAGAGUUCAUAUCGACGGCGGUGUUUGGCACCUCGAUGUCGGCUCAUCACAUCCUGGGGCUGAAGUAGGUCCCAAGGGUAUGGCUGUUCGCCAUUUAAAGUGGUACGCGAGCUGGGUUUAGAACGUCGUGAGACAGUUCGGUCCCUAUCUGCCGUGGGCGCUGGAGAACUGAGGGGGGCUGCUCCUAGUACGAGAGGACCGGAGUGGACGCAUCACUGGUGUUCGGGUUGUCAUGCCAAUGGCACUGCCCGGUAGCUAAAUGCGGAAGAGAUAAGUGCUGAAAGCAUCUAAGCACGAAACUUGCCCCGAGAUGAGUUCUCCCUGACCCUUUAAGGGUCCUGAAGGAACGUUGAAGACGACGACGUUGAUAGGCCGGGUGUGUAAGCGCAGCGAUGCGUUGAGCUAACCGGUACUAAUGAACCGUGAGGCUUAACCUU
rnacentral:rRNA from 1 species